rnacentral:lncRNA from 1 species
GCUGGAGAAGGGGGAUUACCCGGAGGCCGGAGGGGGGUGCUCGCCUGCCCCCUUCCCGUGGGUCGCGGGACCUACAAGCCCUCGCCCCCCAGCACCCCAAAACCAGGCACACACAACCCUCCCCGCCCCUGCAGUCUCCCAAGCGCUGAGUGGCAGCGUCCAGGGAUGGGCUUGCUCCCGGGGAAGGAGACCUGGUGGUAGGCGUCUGGGGUGGAGAGGGGGACAAGCCUAUAACAGCGACAUCUGCAGACUCGAGGGAUCAAAGGUCCUAGACCGGGGGACGGGGAUUGGCAAAUUGUGCCCCCCCUUUUUUGCAGCGGGCAGGCAAUGAAGCUGCGACCAGACGUGGGACUUGCAGAUAAGGGAGUGUCCCUUCACGCCUCACAGCAAAAUCUCUUCCUGUGGUGGGAAGGGGGAAGUUAGCCAAGCGUUGCUCAUUCAGUUCUUUCCCUUUUAUAAAUUCUGCAGAGCGACUGAGCGAAUUUGGCGCGGCUAGCGGAACUGUGAAGAGGCUGCUGCGCUUCUCUGUCCGCCACACUUCAGGUCACAGCCGCUCCGGAGCCGCGGCACAACCGCCUCCCUCCCCACCCAGCUCCCGGGCCUUGUCACAGACCCCGGCAGCUCGCUCCGCCCCACCGCGCCUCACAACAUCUCCCGCUGCAAAUUGUCCAAUCGGGAGACACGAUGGGAGAACGCGAGCCAAUCAGGGACUGUGCUCCUGCUGGUGCUGUUGAGGGUCAUUUUUAUCCUCACUGCGGCGGGGGACUGCCAGCUAUUGUGUCUGAUCAGCUGCCACCGCCGUCCAGAGGGAAAAAAAAGAGGAACAAAACCUAGAAGCUAUGGAGUCCGCUUACCUUUUCCUUCUUUCUUGCUACUCUCCCCUGUAGACUUAGAGUCUUCCCCCGCCCGCCCACCACCUGAGGUCCUGUUUCUUUGUGGGGGACAGGGGAGCGGGGACAUAAAGCACGCCCUGCAGCUGGGGCACCUGCGCCUUCGUUUUUACAUCUUCCUUAAAGUGGAUGGUGCCAAACCAAAUCGACAGCUAAAUCCUCCGCUUCAAUUCGAGGAAAGACGUUGACGAGAUCAUUUUUAGAUGGCCACGAAAUUUGCAUGUUCUUGACAGCCCGUCACCAAACAAGUCAGCUAACAAUCAAGAAAAGAAAAAUAGAAUAAAAUACAAGGAGGGAUUGCCAGUCAGAUGGUAAUUUACUAAAUAGCCCACUGGCUGUAGCAGUAUCCAGUGCUAGAUACUAUUGAGUAAAUUAACAAGAAGUGAAUAGAAAUUCAGGGUUCAAGUAGCUCACCGCUUGUGGGUUUAUAGAAUAUGUCCAGAAAGGAAAAACAAUUUACAGCACAAAACAACUCCUUACACAUGCAAAUGUGCAUGCACGGCAUAAACGGAAUACCUAACAGCUAAGGACAUUUGGGUUAAAAUUUUUGCACUAGAAAUUUUUGUAAAUGUCGAUUGUGAAAUUUGCAGUUUGAUAAAGGAGAGUAAAAUGUGGGCCAUGAAAGGAGAAGGAAAAGGAAGGAAAACACAUUCUAAAAAUUAUGGAAAAAUAACAUAACCUAGAGAGGCAAUAUUUCUAUAAGAGGUAAUAAGAUGUAAGGACCAAGAUUACAAUCCAACUCCAUUUACCACAUAACUUAGCGCGAAUUAUUACUUAUGUGUCUAAGUACUAGAGCUAUCAAAUUCAACGCCUCCUGCUAGGUAUUCCUCUAAAAGCUUUACACAACAAGAUAGGUGGGUGGUGAAGGAAGGUUUCAAGCCCAGGGUAUCUGGCUCCAGAGUCCAUUCUUUUAUUCACAAUACUAUACUAGGCUGGGCUCAGUGGCUCACGCCUGUAAUCCCAACACUUCGGGAGGCUGAGGUGGGAGGAUCGCUUGAGUCCAGGAGUUUGAGACCAGCGUGGGCAACAUAGGGAGACCCGUUUGUACAAGCAAAAUGUUAGCUGGGCGUGGUGGCAUGCGCCUGUAGUCCCAGCUGAUUAGGAGGCUGUGAGGCAGGAGGAUCGCUUGAGCCCAGGAGUUCAAGGCUGCAGUGAGCUAUGUCCAAGAGUGGCACUCCAGCCAGGGCAACAGAGCCAGACUGUGUCUCAAAAAAAAAAAAAAAAAAAACAACAGUAUACUACCUCUUAAUAUGGGUUUUUAAUAAUAACAGCUAACACUUAACUUACUAUGUGUUAAUUAUUGUGGUCUUUCAGUGCCAAUGUAACUCUACUCCUGGGACAAAUAUAAUCGUGAUGUUCCAAAAUUUGGGAAUGUUUUUAAGAACUGUUAUGAUAAGUUACUCUCUUAGGUGUCUCACGCGUAUUAGGCUAUCUGGAUGGAGAGUGCAAAAGGCACAUAGUUAAAAUUUGAAAAAUUUAACUGGGCUUCCACUGGGCCUCUGAGUUGUAACAGCACCCUCCCUAUCUUGCUGGACUGUUGAAGAGAAUCAAAUGAGAUAUAGAUGUGAAGAAACUUUUAAGGCCAGGUGCAGUGGCUUAUGCCUGUAAUCUCAGCACUUUGGCAGGCCCAGGCAGGAGGACCGCUUGAGCCCAUGAGUUCGACAAGCCUGGGCAACAUAACGGGGUCCUAUCUCUAUUUAAAAAAUUUUGUUAAGUUAGCCAGGUGUGGUGGUCAAUGCCUGCGGUCCCAGCUACUUGGAAGGCUCAGGUGUGAGGAUCGCUUGAGCCCGAGAGAUCAAAGCUGCAGUGAGUCUUGAUCACGCCAGCGCACUCCAGCCAGGGCAACAGAAGACACUUUUAAAAUGUAAAAAAAAAAUUAUUUCAAUUAAAAUAUUACAGACUGAGCAUGGUGGCUUAUGUCUGUAAUCCCAGCUCUUUGGGAGGCCAAGGCGUGCGGAUCACUUAAGGCCGGGAGUUCGAGACCAACCUGGGCAACAUGGUGAAACCCUGUCUCUACUGAAAAUACAAAAAUUAGCCUGGCGUGGUAGCACGAGCCUGGAAUCCCAGCUGCAUGAGAGGCUGAGGCAUGAGAAUCUCUUGAGCCCGGGAGGCAGAGGUUGGAAUGAGCUGAGAUUGCACCACUGCACUCCAGCCGGGAUGACAGAGCGAGGACUCUAUCUCAAAAAAUAAAAUAAAAUAUGAUUAUGAAGCAGAAGUUUGUACUAUUUCCCCAACAGCAACCCUACUGUUUAUAACAUUUUAUUGUUACUGUUUAGGAAUAUAUGAACCCAGUUAAAAAUUAGGUCUAUUCCUUUCUGAAGCCAUGAACAAGAAUAUUUUAAUAUCAGCUCUCAUUUGGACGCUUUUGCUUGUUUGUUUUGUUUGUUUUUGUUGUUUUUGAGACGGCGUCUCACUCUGUCACCAGGCUGGAGUGCAGUGGCACAGUCUCGGCUCACUGCAACCUGUGCCUCCUGGGCUCAAGAGAUUCUGGUGCCUCAGCUUCCUGAAUAGCUGGAACUACAGGCACACGCCACCACACCAGGGUAAUUUUUCUUUCUUUUUCUUUUACCCCCCCCCGCACCCCGCCGCACCCCCACCCCCCCCACCCCCGUAGAGACAGGGUUUCGCCACAUUACCCAGACCGAUCUCGAACAACUGACACCUCAACCUCCCAAAGUGCUGGGUUUACAGGCGUGAGCCACCGCGCUUGGUCAUUUGGAUGCUCUCUGACCAGACCAAAGAGUGAGUGUGGCACCCCUAUGCAUCUGGAAAGAGGAAGCCUACAGCUGGUUUUCCUCCAUUCCAAAGGCUAAUCGGCUUAAUUGCUGGAGGGUGCAAGCCUUUGGAAUUCUCUUUAGCUGCCCAUGGUGGACAUCUCACUUGUGAACACCUCCACCAGAGGGAGGGCAAGGGAAAGGAAAGGGGGCCAAACUUCAGUCAUGUGGCUAUGUGUUAGUUUCAGUAAGAGAUUUGGUGAAACAAUAGGUUUUGGGGCCAUUGUAACUGAAAGGAGAUUGAAACUAACUGGUUGCUAUCUUGAUAGUUUUCUUUAUCCUCAAAUAUCAUGGAUAAGCAAGAGCUAACAGUAAUUCUAGCGUUGUUUGCUUUGAAAGGCUAUUGUCCUCCUUAGAGUAUAGCUAAUAAAUGUGUGGGUUUCCUAUAAUCAAACUUCUUGGAGUAUCCUUUGAAAUAGCCUCUGAAAUUACCAUAGCUAUAUUAAUAAAAACAAGGAAGUUUUAUACACUAAAAACUAAGCAAGACAUUUUUGAAGAUGGGAACUGUAUCCUUGAAAGGUAAGUGUUGGCUUUGCUAACCACAUAAUAUCGUUUUGGUGAAUGAUUAUCAAGGGAAAAAAUGUCAAAGCCAGAAAUAGAGUCAAAGUAUCCCAGUCCCUGAUGUGGAAGGUCAUUCUAUGAUAAUCUAUGAAUGAUUUCUACUCUGAAUAUGUUAACAGAAGCUGGCAAUUCUGAGAAGCACAAGUGUUUCCUAGUGAAUCCACAAAUGAAAUUUGCAAUCUGGGUGAAGCAUUUGCAAAACUAUGUUAAGACCAGUGGCCCUCAGAGGAGUAAGGGGUUUUCUUUUGUUGGUUUUAGGAAAAUGCUUUUGGAUUUUAUUUCUUAUUCACACAUUACCAAAAGACACAUUACCUACUAAUAUUACUAUGAAAAAGCAAAAGACUUUUUUUUUUUUUUUUUUUGAGACAGAGUCUCACUUUGUCAUCCAGGCUGGAGUACAAUGGUGUGAUCUUGGCUCACUGCAACCUCUGCCUCUUGGGUUCAAGCGAUUCUCGUGCCUCAGCCUCCCCAGUAGCUGAGACUACAGGCAUGCACCACCACACCCAGCUAAUUUUUGUAUUUUUUAGUAGAGACAGAAUUUUACCAUGUUGGCCAGGCUGGUCUUGAACUCCUGACCUCAGGUGAUCCACCCACUCAGGCCUCCCAAAGUGCUGGGAUUACAGGCGUGAGCCACCAUGCCUGGACAAAAAAGUGAAAGAUUUUCAUAUUGAACUGAAUAGCUACAGAAAUCCCACUACACUUGCAAGGCAUUUAACUAUUGUAAUUGAGAGAAGGGAAUGAUUCUCCAUCGUCAACAAUUUCUAGGAUUCUUCCUUCAUCUCUUUUAAACAAAUAAUGUAAAUGAUUUACUAAUUUAUUGUUCUGC